UACAGAGGUCUCGAGCGUUGUUCGGAUUCAUUGGGCGUAAAGGGUGCGUAGGUGGCGCUGUAAGUCGGGUGUGAAAUCCCACGGCUCAACCGUGGAAGUGCAUUCGAAACUGCGAGGCUGGAGUCCUGGAGAGGAAAGUGGAAUACUCGGUGUAGAGGUGAAAUUCGUAGAUAUCGAGUGGAACACCGGUGGCGAAGGCGGCUUUCUGGACAGGUACUGACGCUGAGACGCGAAAGCGUGGGGAGCAAACAGG
rnacentral:rRNA from 1 species